UAUACCGUAGCUUGCUACACCAUAGACUGUGAGUUGCGAACGGGUGAGUAACGCGUAGGUAACCUGCCUAUUAGAGGGGGAUAACUAUUGGAAACGAUAGCUAAUACCGCAUAACAGUAUGUAACACAUGUUAGAUGCUUGAAAGAUGCAAUUGCAUCGCUAGUAGAUGGACCUGCGUUGUAUUAGCUAGUAGGUAGGGUAAAGGCCUACCUAGGCAACGAUACAUAGCCGACCUGAGAGGGUGAUCGGCCACACUGGGACUGAGACACGGCCCAGACUCCUACGGGAGGCAGCAGUAGGGAAUCUUCGGCAAUGGGGGGAACCCUGACCGAGCAACGCCGCGUGAGUGAAGAAGGUUUUCGGAUCGUAAAGCUCUGUUGUUAAGGAAGAACGAGUGUGAGAAUGGAAAGUUCAUGCUGGACG
rnacentral:rRNA from 1 species